rnacentral:rRNA from 1 species
GCUCUUUGAGUCUUGCAGUUGGAAUGAGUACAAUUUAAACCCCUUAACGAGUAACAAUCGGAGGGCAAGUCUGGUGCCAGCAGCCGCGGUAAUUCCAGCUCCAAUAGCGUAUAUUAAAGUUGUUGCAGUUAAAAAGCUCGUAGUUGGACCUUAGGCAAGGCGGCCUGGUCACCCUCUGGGUGUACUGGGAUCGCUGCGCCUCACCUUCGGGGAGCUAGUCGUGCUUCGGUGCGCUAGGGAACCGAGCCUUA